rnacentral:rRNA from 1 species
AUUGAACGCUGGCGGCAUGCCUUACACAUGCAAGUCGAACGGUAGAGGGCUUCGGCCCUUGAGAGUGGCGAACGGGUGAGUAAAGCAUCGGAACGUACCCUGUCGAGGGGGAUAACGUAGCGAAAGUUACGCUAAUACCGCAUAAGACCUGAGGGUGAAAGUGGGGGACUGGAAACGGCCUCACGCGAUGGGAGCGGCCGAUGUCGGAUUAGCUAGUUGGUGGGGUAAAGGCCUACCAAGGCGACGAUCCGUAGCGGGUCUGAGAGGAUGAUCCGCCACACUGGGACUGAGACACGGCCCAGACUCCUACGGGAGGCAGCAGUGGGGAAUUUUGGACAAUGGGCGCAAGCCUGAUCCAGCCAUGCCGCGUGGGUGAAGAAGGCCUGGUGUAAGCCUUCGCCGGAGAAACGUAGCGGGCGGAACAGUCUGCACGGAUGACGGUACCGGAA